rnacentral:rRNA from 1 species
AUUGAACGCUGGCGGCAUGCCUUACACAUGCAAGUCGAACGGCAGCACGGGUGCUUGCACCUGGUGGCGAGUGGCGAACGGGUGAGUAAUACAUCGGAACAUGUCCUGUAGUGGGGGAUAGCCCGGCGAAAGCCGGAUUAAUACCGCAUACGAUCUACGGAUUAAAGCGGGGGACCUUCGGGCCUCGCGCUAUAGGGUUGGCCGAUGGCUGAUUAGCUAGUUGGUGGGGUAAAGGCCUACCAAGGCGACGAUCAGUAGCUGGUCUGAGAGGACGACCAGCCACACUGGGACUGAGACACGGCCAAGACUCCUACGGGAGGCAGCAGUGGGGAAUUUUGGACAAUGGGCGAAAGCCUGAUCCAGCAAUGCCGCGUGUGUGAAGAAGGCCUUCGGGUUGUAAAGCACUUUUGUCCGGAAAGAAAUCCUUGGCCCUAAUACGGUCGGGGGAUGACGGUACCGGAAGAAUAAGCACCGGCUAACUACGUG